UUUAUGGAGAGUUUGAUCCUGGCUCAGGAUGAACGCUGGCGGCGUGCCUAAUACAUGCAAGUCGAGCGAACGGACGAGAAGCUUGCUUCUCUGAUGUUAGCGGCGGACGGGUGAGUAACACGUGGAUAACCUACCUAUAAGACUGGGAUAACUUCGGGAAACCGGAGCUAAUACCGGAUAAUAUUUUGAACCGCAUGGUUCAAAAGUGAAAGACGGUCUUGCUGUCACUUAUAGAUGGAUCCGCGCUGCAUUAGCUAGUUGGUAAGGUAACGGCUUACCAAGGCAACGAUGCAUAGCCGACCUGAGAGGGUGAUCGGCCACACUGGAACUGAGACACGGUCCAGACUCCUACGGGAGGCAGCAGUAGGGAAUCUUCCGCAAUGGGCGAAAGCCUGACGGAGCAACGCCGCGUGAGUGAUGAAGGUCUUCGGAUCGUAAAACUCUGUUAUUAGGGAAGAACAUAUGUGUAAGUAACUGUGCACAUCUUGACGGUACCUAAUCAGAAAGCCACGGCUAACUACGUGCCAGCAGCCGCGGUAAUACGUAGGUGGCAAGCGUUAUCCGGAAUUAUUGGGCGUAAAGCGCGCGUAGGCGGUUUUUUAAGUCUGAUGUGAAAGCCCACGGCUCAACCGUGGAGGGUCAUUGGAAACUGGAAAACUUGAGUGCAGAAGAGGAAAGUGGAAUUCCAUGUGUAGCGGUGAAAUGCGCAGAGAUAUGGAGGAACACCAGUGGCGAAGGCGACUUUCUGGUCUGUAACUGACGCUGAUGUGCGAAAGCGUGGGGAUCAAACAGGAUUAGAUACCCUGGUAGUCCACGCCGUAAACGAUGAGUGCUAAGUGUUAGGGGGUUUCCGCCCCUUAGUGCUGCAGCUAACGCAUUAAGCACUCCGCCUGGGGAGUACGACCGCAAGGUUGAAACUCAAAGGAAUUGACGGGGACCCGCACAAGCGGUGGAGCAUGUGGUUUAAUUCGAAGCAACGCGAAGAACCUUACCAAAUCUUGACAUCCUUUGACAACUCUAGAGAUAGAGCCUUCCCCUUCGGGGGACAAAGUGACAGGUGGUGCAUGG
rnacentral:rRNA from 1 species